GACGAACCGUGCGAACGUUGUUCGGAAUACUGGGCGUAAAGCGCACGUAGGCGGCUUUGUAAGUUAGAGGUGAAAGCCCGGGGCUCAACUCCGGAAUUGCCUUUAAGACUGCAUCGCUAGAAUUGUGGAGAGGUAAGUGGAAUUCCGAGUGUAGAGGUGAAAUUCGUAGAUAUUCGGAAGAACACCAGUGGCGAAGGCGACUUACUGGACACAUAUUGACGCUGAGGUGCGAAAGCGUGGGGAGCAAACAGG
rnacentral:rRNA from 1 species